rnacentral:rRNA from 1 species
UACGUAGGGUGCGAGCGUUAAUCGGAAUUACUGGGCGUAAAGCGUGCGCAGGCGGUGAUGUAAGACAGGUGUGAAAUCCCCGGGCUUAACCUGGGAACUGCAUUUGUGACUGCAUCGCUGGAGUGCGGGCAGAGGGGGGAUGGAAUUCCGCGUGUAGCAGUGAAAUGCGUAGAUAUGCGGAGGAACACCGAUGGCGAAGGCAAUCCCCCUGGGCCUGCACUGA